rnacentral:rRNA from 1 species
UACGUAGGGGGCAAGCGUUGUCCGGAAUCAUUGGGCGUAAGGCGCGUGUAGGCGGCCCGGUAAGUCCGCUGUGAAAGUCGGGGGCUCAACCCUCGAAUGCCGGUGGAUACUGUCGGGCUAGAGUGCGGAAGAGGCGAGUGGAAUUCCUGGUGUAGCGGUGAAAUGCGCAGAUAUCGGGAGGAACACCAACGGCGAAGGCAGCUUGCUGGGACGGUACUGACGCUGAGAUGCGAAAGCGUGGGGAGCAAACAGGG